UACAGAGGUCUCAAGCGUUGUUCGGAUUCAUUGGGCGUAAAGGGCGCGUAGGCGGCGGGGUAAGUCUGGUGUGAAAUCUAGGAGCUCAACUCCUAAACUGCACUGGAUACUGCUCUGCUAGAGGACUGGAGAGGAGACUGGAAUUCCGCGUGUAGCAGUGAAAUGCGUAGAUAUGCGGAGGAACACCGAUGGCGAAGGCAAUCCCCUGGGCCUGCACUGACGCUCAUGCACGAAAGCGUGGGGAGCGAACAGG
rnacentral:rRNA from 1 species